rnacentral:rRNA from 1 species
GACGAACGCUGGCGGCGUGCUUAACACAUGCAAGUCGAACGGAAAGGCCCUGCUUUUGUGGGGUGCUCGAGUGGCGAACGGGUGAGUAACACGUGAGUAACCUGCCCUUGACUUUGGGAUAACUUCAGGAAACUGGGGCUAAUACCGGAUAGGAGCCCCUGCUGCAUGGUGGGGGUUGGAAAGUUUCGGCGGUUGGGGAUGGACUCGCGGCUUAUCAGCUUGUUGGUGGGGUAGUGGCUUACCAAGGGUUUGACGGGUAGCCGGCCUGGGAGGGUGACCGGCCACAUUGGGACUGAGAUACGGCCCAGACUCCUACGGGAGGCAGCAGUGGGGAAUAUUGCACAGUGGGCGGAAGCCUGAUGCAGCAACGCCGCGUGCGGGAUGACGGCCUUCGGGUUGUAAACCGCUUUCGCCUGUGACGAAGCGUGAGUGACGGUAAUGAGUAAAGAAGCACCGGCUAACUACGUG